UACGGGGGGGGCAAGCGUUGUUCGGAAUUACUGGGCGUAAAGGGCUCGUAGGCGGCCAACUAAGUCAGACGUGAAAUCCCCAGGCUCAACUUGGGAACUGCGUCUGAUACUGGAUGGCUUGAAUUCGGGAGAGGGAUGCAGAAUUCCAGGUGUAGCGGUGAAAUGCGUAGAUAUCUGGAGGAAUACCGAUGGCGAAGGCAAUCCCCUGGGCCUGCACUGACGCUCAUGCACGAAAGCGUGGGGAGCAAACAGG
rnacentral:rRNA from 1 species